CGUGUAGGCGGCCAGGUAGGUCUGCUGUGAAAACUCGAGGCUCAACCUCGAGAUGUCGGCAGAAACCAUCUGGCUAGAGUCCGGAAGAGGAGAGUGGAAUUCCUGGUGUAGCGGUGAAAUGCGCAGAUAUCAGGAAGAACACCCGUGGCGAAGGCGGCUCUCUGGGACGGUACUGACGCUGAGACGCGAAAGCGUGGGGAGCGAACA
rnacentral:rRNA from 1 species